rnacentral:rRNA from 1 species
UAGGGAAUAUUCCGCAAUGGGCGAAAGCCUGACGGAGCGACGCCGCGUGAAUGAAGAAGUCCUUCGGGAUGUAAAGUUCAAUCGGCCGGGGAAGAAUGGUUUGCAUACUAAUAAUAUGCGAGCAGAGACGGUACCCGGAAUGAAGCCACGGCUAAUUACGUGCCAGCAGCCGCGGUAAUACGUAAGUGGCAAGCGUUAUCCGGAAUCACUGGGUGUAAAGGGUGUGUAGGCGGUAAUAAAAGUUGUGUGUUUAAAUUCAGGGCUCAACCCUGAACUGGCAUGAAGGACUGUAUUGCUAGAGUGAUGAAGAGGAAACUGGAACUCCAGGUGAAGCGGUGAAAUGUGUAGAUAUCUGGGGGAACACCAAUGGCGAAGGCAGGUUUCUGGUCAUCAACUGACGCUGAGACACGAAAGCGUGGGGAUCAAACG